rnacentral:lncRNA from 1 species
AUGGUGCUGUUUUAAAAGCAAGGAUAAGCAGAAAGGGACAUGGAUUUUAGUUGAUGGAUGACUCACUCACUACAUUCAACUGAACUGAAUCUGCUCUAUACCAGCAAAGGGACAAAUUCAGAAAAUAAAUUGAAGAUGGCCAUGCUGUAACUUCUAAACAUGGUUUGCUUCUCAGAUUUACCUAAACUAAGAAAGGCCGCCGACUCGAAGCGUGAGCAGUUCCGGAGGUACUUGGAGAAGUCGGGGGUGCUGGACACGCUGACCAAGGUGUUGGUAGCCUUAUAUGAAGAACCAGAGAAACCUAACAGUGCUUUGGAUUUUUUAAAGCAUCACUUAGGAGCUGCUACUCCAGAAAAUCCAGAAAUAGAGCUGCUUCGCCUAGAACUGGCCGAAAUGAAAGAGAAGUAUGAAGCUAUUGUAGAAGAAAAUAAAAAACUGAAAGCAAAGCUUGCUCAGUAUGAACCACCUCAGGAGGAGAAGCGUGCUGAAUAGGAUUCUUCUCAGUUUGAAAGACAAUGAAAAAUGGUUUUGUAUGACUUGAAUAGUUUGUAUAGUAUAUAAUCUUUUCUGAACAGAUGCUAUAGAACUCUUUUAAUAUGUUUAAUUCACCUAUCACACUCUGUUAAAAACACAUAGAAUCAUCAAUAAAAACUCAAUAUAACUUUCUUUGGGUCUUAAAGCAGGAGAAUCCAAAGUAAAUCCUGAACAAAACCUAAACACAGCCAUCUAACUCAUUACCUUAAAAGACAUUCUGUUUAUUAGUCUGAUUAGGAAUGAUGGCACUGGUUGUAUUUUAGCCAAGACAGUUUAGCAUGGAGCUAUUCCUUGGUGCAGUUCAGGAUAUGAACACAGGUACAGUCAUUCUUUGAAGGUGACACUGUUCUGUAUAUUCCCUAUAGGCAGCUGGAGAGAUCUGUGUGACACAAGAUGCUUUUGUACGGGUUCCCAUGAAUCUUCUGCUCUUGUUUGUGUGACAUGGAACAAAUAACUUCUUUGCCACCACUUUGCCUUAGAUAACUGUGUGUGUGUGUGCCAGUUUGAACUCUGACACCACAUUUUCCUUCUAUGCAAUCAUGCCUGUCUGAUAAUCUUGCAUUGCUUUCCUCUGAGCUUUAGUGGGUCCUAGUUGCACACUGGCCUUUCUGUGCUGUUUUUCAAUUUGCCUAAUAAUAGCAGUUACCCUGAUUGUAAUUUAUGUAACUUUAAACAGGAUCACACUGUACCCCCUGCCUGCCUUAUUUGCUUACUGAGCACAGGACAGAGGCAAUAUACAACUCUGGGUUCACACACAAGCUGAGAUGAGAAGAGGAAUGAGCCAUAUAUUGGGGAAAAUCAUAGUUUGUAGGUAUAAUUAUAUAGUGCUUUUCUCCCUCAAAGUAUUUUUCUAGCCUUGAAUUCAUUUUAUCUUCAUUAUCCCUGUGAAGUAGGUGGGACAAGUAUAAGGGGAAGAGGGGUGCUGAAUUUUUAGGCCAAAGACUGAUAUUAAUACAAAUCACUCACUAACUGUAGAGCCUUGGGCAUUAUCAGUGAACUACUCUGAGAUUUACUGUCUUCAUCUGUUUAAUGAGUAGAAUGUCCGUGAUGCCUACCUCACAGGGUUGUUGUGAGGGUCAAAUGAGAAUGUAUGUGAAAGAUUUGUAAAUGGUAAAGCACUAUAUUCUUGUUUGUUAGUCCUUUUUCCUUUCUUUGGGUAGACCUACAGUCAGAUGUUUUGUUUUAUGGAUCACUUAUUUUCCUUACUGGUAGACUGUCGUUUUAUAGACAUAUUCCUAUUUCAUAUAUUCUCUCCCUGUUGUUAGAGAACCUAUCUUUGUUUUUGGUCAAAACACACAUAGAAAACAAAAUGAUCCAAUGAAAACUGGUUUAACUAGCAAAAGCCUUGGCACCUGUUGGAGACUAUGACCAAGCCAAUAAAAAGGGCAUUUAAAUCAGCCCUGUUAGUAGGAAUGUGGCUAUGGCUGGUGCCUCUUCUAGUCACAAGUUUGUUUUUGGAGGGGGUCCAGAAGAUCAUUCCCUUGCAUAGAUUUCUCUUUUACCAAUUUGAGUGCCUCCUACAUGGGCAGCAGUGGACUAAGUGCUGGGUGUGAUAAAGAGGAAUGACUUAAUUAUGAGACUGUAUAUAAUCAAAUACAGUGUGGGUUAGGACCUGUGGCAGACCAUUAUAAUAAAGCAUGGCCCCGUGAGGGUUUUGAAAGAGAGAGAGACUUGGCUUCCUUAGUUGGUAUGAUAGUUUCUUGGUAGAUACAGGUUGAAAAUUUUUUGUGGCAGCCAAUCCUCAUGGGCUUUUUACUCAUUUGAUUAGUAUUAAUAUUUAUGUCAGUAAGCCAGGUGACUGUGACUGUCUUUGGUACCAUCCUUUUUGAACAGAAAGGCAACAUGUGGGUUGGAUAAUCACACUUUUAGGUGAAACUGACUUGCUUAAACUGUAACAGUCAGUGCUAUUUAAGAAUUCAGGAUAAGCUUAGCCUCUAGAGGUCCUCUUCAACAUUUCUGUCAAGGAUUUGGAUGAAUACAACAAGAUGCUCCAUGGAAGAGAAAAUGGAUAAAUGGAUCCCACCAGUUAAGCUCCUAUUAUGCUUCAGCUGCUUUGUCUAUAAAAUAUCGACUUCACAUCUUGCCUAUCUCACAAGUUGGUUGUAAGAAUCAAAUUAAAUAUAAUGGAUGUAAAAGUG